rnacentral:rRNA from 1 species
CCCUUAGAUGUUCUGGGCCGCACGCGCGCUACACUGAUGAAUGCAACGAGCUCUACCCUUGACCGAAAGGCCCGGGUAAACUUGUGAAACUUCAUCGUGAUGGGGAUAGAUUAUUGCAAUUAUUAAUCUUCAACGAGGAAUUCCUAGUAAGCGCGAGUCAUCAGCUCGCGUUGAUUACGUCCCUGCCCUUUGUACACAUCGCCCGUCGCUCCUACCGAUUGAAUGGUCCGGUGAAAUCUUCGGAUUGCUGACCAAGAUCCAGCAAUGGAGCUUGGUUGCGAGAAGUUGAUUAAACCUUAUUAUUUAGAGGAAGGAGAAGUCGUAACA